AACGAACGCUGGCGGCGCGUCUUAAGCAUGCAAGUCGGACGGCAAGAAGAGAGCUUGCUCUCUUCCUAGAGUGGCGGACUGGUGAGUAACACGUGGGUGACGUACCCUUUAGCUGGGGAUAGCCGGUAGAAAUACCGGGUAAUACCGAAUAAUCUUGCUUCUUUGAAGUGAAGUAAGGAAAGGAGCUUUGGCUUCACUGAAGGAACGGCCCGCGCACUAUUAGCUAGUUGGUGAGGUAACGGCCCACCAAGGCAACGAUCAGUAGCCGGACUGAGAGGUUGAACGGCCACAUUGGGACUGAGAUACGGCCCAGACUCCUACGGGAGGCAGCAGUGGGGAAUAUUGGGCAAUGGGGGCAACCCUGGACCCAGCAACGCCGCGUGAAGGAAGAAGGCUUCGGUUGUAAACUCUUUACCAGGGACGAAGACGUGACGGUACCUGGAGAAAAAGCCAACGGCUAACUAACGUG
rnacentral:rRNA from 1 species